GCCAGACGGCGACGCUCCGCUGCCCCGGACCGCAGACAGAGAGCAGGACGAGCUGCAGCCUUCCAAAGAACGGCAACAACCUCACCAAAUUCACCAGGUGGACGGAAAUGCUGGUGGGACGAAGGAUGAGGAAACCCUGUCAAAGUCUCCUCCUCAUCCUGGAGC